CAGAACAAAAAUGAUAAUGAGAAAAAAAAUAAUCAUAAUCUCUGUAAAAAAAAAAGAGUUUAGAAGAGUGGCCAAAAGAGAGGUCAGUUUCGAGAGGAGAGAUCAGUUUCGAGAGGAGAGGUCAGUUUUGAGAGGAGAGGUCAGAGAGGAGAGGUCAGUUUUGAGAGGAGAGAUCAGUUUCAAGAGGAGAGGUCAGUUUUGAGAGGAGAGGUCAGAGAGGAGAGGUCAGUUUCAAGAGGAGAGGUCAGUUUCAAGAGGAGAGGUCAGUUUUGAGAGGAGAGGUCAGAGAGGAGAGGUCAGUUUUGAGAGGAGAGGUCAGAGAGGAGAGGUCAGUUUCAAGAGGAGAGAUCAGUUUUGAGAGGAGAGGUCAGAGAGGAGAGGUCAGUUUCAAGAGGAGAGGUCAGUUUCAAGAGGAGAGGUCAGUUUUGAGAGGAGAGGUCAGUUUUGAGAGGAGAGGUCAGUUUUGAGAGGAGAGGUCAGAGAGGAGAGGUCAGAGAGGAGAGGUCAG